GUCUCACUCUCUCUCUCACUCUAACUCACUCUCUGUGUCUCAAUCUAACUCACUCUCUGUGUCCUUCAUAAGAGACUCAUACUGACAGAGACUAGCUACUAUCUGAAGAGGAGGAUUUACUGUAAAACAGAUAAAGCAGCAGGCUUAAAACAGAUAGAGCAGCAGGCUUAAAACAGAUAGGAUUUACUGUAAAACAGACAGAGCAGGCUUAAAACAGACAGGAUUUACUGUAAAACAGAUAAAGCAGGCUUAAAACAGACAGAGCAGCAGGCUUAAAACAGAUAUAGCAGCCUUAAAACAGAUAGAGCAGCAGGCUUAAAACAGAUAGAGCAGGCUUAAAACAGAUAGAGCAGC
ensembl:lncRNA